UACGUAGGGUGCGAGCGUUAAUCGGAAUUACUGGGCGUAAAGCGUGCGUAGGUGGUUCGUUGUGUCUGUGGUGAAAGCCCCGGGCUUAACCUGGGAACGGCCAUGGAAACUGGCGAGCUGGAGUGUGGCAGAGGGGGGUGGAAUUCCGCGUGUAGCAGUGAAAUGCGUAGAUAUGCGGAGGAACACCGAUGGCGAAGGCAAUCCCCUGGGCCUGCACUGACGCUCAUGCACGAAAGCGUGGGGAGCAAACAGG
rnacentral:rRNA from 1 species